ensembl:lncRNA
CUGUGGGUGUGGUGGUCCCUGUGGUGUGGUGUGGCUGUGGGUGUGGUGGUCUCUCUGAUUGUCUCUGUCACUGGAGUGGCUGUGACUGUGGUGGUUUCUGUUGUAGCCUUUGUCAGUGGUGUGGUUAUGGGUAUAGUGGUUUUUGUAGUGGUCUCUGUCAGUGGUGGGGCUGUGGGUGUGGUGGUCUCUGUGGUGGUGGUUGUCAGUGGUGUGGCUGUGGUGGUUUCUGUCAGUGGUGUGACUGUGCGUGUGGCGGUUUCUGUGGUGGUCUCUGUCAGUGGUGUGACUGUGGGUGUGGUGGUCUCUGUCAGUGGUAUGACUGUGGGUGUAGUGGUUUUUCUGGUGGUCUCUGUCAGUGGUGGGGCUGUGGGUGUGGUGGUCUCUGUGGUGGUGGUUGUCAGUGGUGUGGCUGUGGUGGUCUCUGUCAGUGGUGGGGCUGUGGGUGUGGUGGUCUCUGUGGUGGUGGUUGUCAGUGGUGUGGCUGUGGUGGUUUCUGUCAGUGGUGUGACUGUGCGUGUGGCGGUUUCUGUGGUGGUCUCUGUCAGUGGUGUGACUGUGGGUGUGGUGGUCUCUGUCAGUGGUAUGACUGUGGGUGUAGUGGUUUUCUGGUGUGGUGUGACUGUGGGUGUGGUGGUCUCUGUCAGUGGUAUGACUGUGGGUGUAGUGGUUUUUCUGGUGGUCUCUGUCAGUGGUGGGGCUGUGGGUGUGGUGGUCUCUGUGGUGGUGGUUGUCAGUGGUGUGGGUGUGGUGGUCUCUG